rnacentral:rRNA from 1 species
UGGCCGGGCUACUCCGUCAUGUCAAGGCCAACAUNGGUUCGGGUGGUCGGUCAAAGACCCCGGGAACGUAUCCACCUCCGGGUCGACUUAUAGCCCGGGGUGCAAUGCGGCCCACCCGGACCGAGGAACGCGCUCCGGCUCGGAUGUUGGCGUAAUGGUUGUAAGCGGCCCGUCUUGAAACACGGACCAAGGAGUCUAACAUCUAUGCGAGUGUUUGGGUGUCAAACCCCGACGCGGAAUGAAAGUGAACGGAGGUAAGAACCCGCCCCCCCGGGGGAGGGCGCAUUAUCGACCGAUCCUGAUGUCUUCGGAUGGAUUUGAGUAGGAGCAUAGCUGUUGGGACCCGAAAGAUGGUGAACUAUGCGUGAAUAGGGUGAAGCCAGAGGAAACUCUGGUGGAGGCUCGCAGCGGUUCUGACGUGCAAAUCGAUCGUCAAAUUUGCGCAUAGGGGCGAAAGACCAAUCGAACCGUCUGGUAGCUGGUUCCUGUCGAAGUUUCCCUCAGGAUAGCAGUAACGUCUUCAGUUUUAUGA